ACUCCUACGGGAGGCAGCAGUGGGGAAUUUUGGACAAUGGGCGAAAGCCUGAUCCAGCAAUGCCGCGUGCAGGAUGAAGGCCUUCGGGUUGUAAACUGCUUUUGUACGGAACGAAAAAGCUCCUUCUAAUACAGGGGGCCCAUGACGGUACCGUAAGAAUAAGCACCGGCUAACUACGUGCCAGCAGCCGCGGUAAUACGUAGGGUGCGAGCGUUAAUCGGAAUUACUGGGCGUAAAGCGUGCGCAGGCGGUUAUGUAAGACAGAUGUGAAAUCCCCGGGCUCAACCUGGGAACUGCAUUUGUGACUGCAUGGCUAGAGUACGGUAGAGGGGGAUGGAAUUCCGCGUGUAGCAGUGAAAUGCGUAGAUAUGCGGAGGAACACCGAUGGCGAAGGCAAUCCCCUGGACCUGUACUGACGCUCAUGCACGAAAGCGUGGGGAGCAAACAGGAUUAGAUACCCCAGUAGUCCC
rnacentral:rRNA from 1 species